rnacentral:lncRNA from 1 species
GGGAUGGAGCAGGCGCUCUAGUCUGGUCUUAAUAGCUAGAAGUUUGAUGCUUGAUGCUUCCUAGCAUUGUUGUAAUGGUUUCCAAUUUAGAUUUAUAUUCUCGCAUGCGAAGAGUACGGAGACUUGCAUGUCGCUUGGGUAUGUACAUCGUUUGUCUCAUGGUGAGGGGGGGAGAACAUACUGUUGUGGUGUGGUGGAAUGUAGCAUUUAUCUUUCGGUGUCCCAUCAUGGGUCUAUCCCCCUUAUGAGAAAACUUCAUACUAUUGUGGUGGCGUAUGUGGUGUACAUCUUUUGUUUUAUUGGUUGGGAAAAUGUGUACAUCUUUUGUUUUAUUAGUUGGAAAAAGGUUUUGAUGAUGAUGG